rnacentral:lncRNA from 1 species
AUAAGCACUUACUGAAGAGUGCUAAACAGGUUUGGGUCAGGCUCGUAACGUAAAACAAACGCUACCUGGGAGGCAACCCAGUUGAUUGUUGUUUUUAAUCCUGUGUUAAGUGCAUUGCAUGUUAAUGAUUGCAUCUGAGAGGGGAAAGACAUAUAUUUGAAAAAUUGAACGUUGAAAUUGAGUGUUAUAAGGAAAGAUUACUCAAAAGAAAGCAAAAGAAGAAGAAGUGAAAUUAAGCGUAGACCGCUGAGCGGUCCAUUUUACCGCUGAGUGGUUGCGGCGUUGAGGGUCUCGGUUUUGCUUAAAAGUUGAGCGGUUUUUCAAAUUUUUCACUUUGAAACCCUUCUUUGCAUUUCGCCUGAGCGGUCUCCCUAAGUCAUAGCACUCUCCUCUCACUUUCAAGAGCUUUUUGGAGAGAUUUCCUCACUUUCUCUUCACCCACUCACCAAAAAUUCAAUUUUCUACCAUUGCUUUGUUAAAUUUUGGGGUUUUUGGUUGAGGGACUUGCAUUGGAGAGGACAUCCAUCAUCAAUUAAGCAAUUUUUCUGCAAGCAUUAACAAUCUCC